CGUGGGCCCGGCCCCGCAGGGGGUGGGAGCAGUGCUGCUGCAAGGGACUGACCCAGAGGGCGCGGGGUCGGUGCCGGCCGCGGCUCGUGGGGCUCACGGAAACAAUGCUCAUUUAAAUAAUGAACAAUUCAUCUAUGGAGCUUUUGAAGAAUGUAAAUAUAUUCAAAUGACAUAAAAAACAUCUGAAGUGGAAACUCUGAGGGUUAUUCAGAGCUCUUUUGCCCUCUCUGCCCCAUGCAGGGUUCUGUGUUUUCUAUUUCAAGAUUCCUUAGAUACUUGGCUGCACUGAGAACAUCAUUUCAAUGUUAGCAGUUCUUUUUUUCCCUUGUUUUAAAAAUGUUUGAUUGAAAGACUGUUUUUUUAUUUA